rnacentral:lncRNA from 1 species
AGCAUACGAUUUGUAUAACUAAAUGUGCGAUUCAAAUUCACUCGCAAUCAGUUCAAGCAAACAUAUGGGCGGGCACAUUCAAAAUCAUAGAUAACGAGUCACAAAAUUGAAUCAAGCAAUUAGUUAACAUUAGAAUGAGUAAAGGAUUGAAGUUUUAAACCUUAUCACACGAAACUUUUUGAUUAAUCGAUAGAGUGCAAUAACAACGCCUCAAAUCUACAAAAUCCAAUCGCGAAAAUACAGCAGCAACAGAAACUGAACCGGUACCGCGAACCAGCAACAAUACUCAAACGGUGCCAGAAAUCUCAAACAGGAACAAUGAACUAACUACGAACAGCUUUACCUCAGUCGGAAUGGGAUAAAAUUCCAAUAAUCAAACGAAAAUUCAUUUUAAAACCCAGAAUUCAAAACUUAAAAUGAGCAGAUUAUUCUUCUUAAAUAUGUUUUCUCUUCUGUUUUUUUUUUCGUUUAUUGACUCUGUGUGUGUGUGUGUUUCUGAAGAAGCAGCAGAAGUUGUGAGAGAGAUAUGGUUGUGUUGUUACGACUGGUCGAAGAAGAAGAACGAGGGGGGUCAUUUGUGGCUGCUCAACGGCGACACGAGUAAUGAGAGGGUCUGCCACGUGGUGAAGGAUGGGACGAUGAGUUUCAAGGGUUCUUGGUAGAGUUCUAGCUUGGAUGAGUUCUUGGGGUUCAGGGGUCUUGGGCGUUGUAUUUUUGGUGAGGCUGAAGAGGCCAGGGGUCGUUUUUGGUAGAGAUGGGUGAGACUAAGCGGUUGGCGGCAGCUUGGUGUAUGUAGAAGAGGGCGGAGGGUGGUGGCUGUGUUGACCUUUUUAGGUCUAGGAUCCUUGUUGUAGUGUGCUAGGGUUAGGUCUUAUUUCAAGAUUAAAGAUGAGGACUAAGUAACCAGGGUUAGCUCAAUGUUUCUUCUCUUGUUCUCUAAGGUUGAAGAAGCGUUUCUGGGAAAGGUUAAAGAAGA